GAUGAACGCUGGCGGCGUGCUUAACACAUGCAAGUCGAACGGGAAACCUUUUAUUGAAGCUUCGGCAGAUUUAGCUGGUUUCUAGUGGCGGACGGGUGAGUAACGCGUGGGUAACCUGCCUUAUACAGGGGGAUAACAACCAGAAAUGGUUGCUAAUACCGCAUAAGCGCACAGGACCGCAUGGUCCGGUGUGAAAAACUCCGGUGGUAUAAGAUGGACCCGCGUUGGAUUAGCUAGUUGGCAGGGUAACGGCCUACCAAGGCGACGAUCCAUAGCCGGCCUGAGAGGGUGAACGGCCACAUUGGGACUGAGACACGGCCCAGACUCCUACGGGAGGCAGCAGUGGGGAAUAUUGCACAAUGGGGGAAACCCUGAUGCAGCGACGCCGCGUGAAGGAAGAAGUAUCUCGGUAUGUAAACUUCUAUCAGCAGGGAAGAUAGUGGCGGUACCUGACUAAGAAGCCCCGGCUAACUACGUG
rnacentral:rRNA from 1 species